UACAGAGGGGGCAAGCGUUGUUCGGAAUUACUGGGCGUAAAGGGCGCGUAGGCGGCCUGCUAAGUCGAACGUGAAAUCCCUGGGCUCAACCCAGGAACUGCGUCCGAUACUGGUUGGCUUGAAUCCGGGAGAGGGACGUGGAAUUCCAGGUGUAGCGGUGAAAUGCGCAGAUAUCAGGAGGAACACCGGUGGCGAAGGCGGGUCUCUGGGCAACUACUGACGCUGAGGAGCGAAAGCGUGGGGAGCGAACAGG
rnacentral:rRNA from 1 species